rnacentral:rRNA from 1 species
AAGUGGUAACAAGGUUUCCGUAGGUGAACCUGCGGAAGGAUCAUUA